AUGUAUCAUGAUGUAGUGUCUAGCAUAAGAACUGUGACGGUACAUGGUGGUGUGUUCCCAAUAACAAUUGGAUUACCAAGGUUCAGCUCUAAGGCCGUAUUUGUUUGCACUAAUCAUGGAUGAGUUGACUAGAAACAUUCAAGAUCAGAUCCUUCGGUGUAUGCUUUUUGCAGAUGAUAUUCUUUUGGUGGAUGAAACAAAUGCUGGGAUAAAUGCAAAGUUGGAUUUAUGAAAAUCAACCUUGAAAUCAAAAGGUUUUAUGAUAAGUAGAGCAAAACCAGAGUAUAUAAUGUGUAACCUUAGAAACUGUAGGACUGAGAGUGGGGUGGUGAAAAUUGAUGAUAUACCUAGGUUCAAUUAUGAAUAAAGGAGGAUAAAUAGAGGACGAUAUUAUGCAAAGAAUUAGAAUAGGCGGAUGGAAUGGAGAGGUGCAUCCGGAGUGUUGUGUUAUUGACAUAUUCCGUUAAAACUGAAA